AACAACUUGGGCCAUUAAAGGAAUGGAAACAAAGAAUGUGCAUAAAUGGAGAGAAUGAAGAGCUGGGACUUGCCAAUAAACUUCCUA
rnacentral:lncRNA from 11 species